CAAAAAAAAAAAAAAAAAAAAAAGUCAUCGAAAUUAGCCUCAGUUAAGAGUCCCCUAUCUCUGCUCUCUACAAAUCUAGCGUCUCCUCCCCAAUCUACAUCGACCUCCGCCUCAUCAUUUCCUACCCCUCCCUCCUCCGCCAAAUCUCCCAACCCUAAUCGCCGUUGUCCCCUCCUCCACCCACGACGACCUCAUCUGCGGUGUCCCCUAGACCGCCCUCCCCAUCGCCACCUGCAUCAGGACCUCCCAUGACGUCCCAAUGCUCAUGCGCCGCCAAGGAGGUCAAGGACUACGGUACUGCCAAGGCCAUCGAAGGCGAAUUCAAGCCCGUCCAGGUCUGCCUCAUCAUCGAGGACCUCGUCACCAGUGGCGCCUUCGUUCUCGAGACUGCCGCGCCGCUCAGAGCGCCGGGUUGAAGCUGGAAGAGAGGAGCAAACCUGAGCACUGACAGGGGCAGAGCCUUUGAUGCAUAACGUUCCUGAUGUACAAGUGUUUACACUCCUCUAGAGACUAAUGUAGUUGUUCAGCUUUCCCAGGUUAGCACCUGUUUCCCUAAACAACAAGCAUUUAUCAGUAAUCUGUCAAUCCAUAGCAGCUAUUAAUUUUGCAACUGAUAGUUUUGUUCAUAUGAAAUUUGGCAUGUCACAUGGCUUGUCUAUGCUCAUCAUAGCAGCUUUGAAUAUGUUUCCAGCUUUGAAAUUUGGCAUGAUUUUGAACGCUAUAUAGGGCAUAUAGUGGCUGAUCUGUGUUUAUAUUUGAUAAUGUAGUUUUUUACCAUGGCGUUUAAUUUUUUUUUUUGGUUGAUGGUAUUGAUACAAGACAAAGGGACAUAUGCUUGAUGGUUUUAGAUAGGAGACAAAGAACACAUAUGCUUGAUGGUUUUAGAUAGGAGACAAAGAACACAUAUGCUUUUAUUCUGCUGAUCAGGUUGUGAGAGAUAUCCAAGGAAAGUUUGCUUUUAUUCUCUAUGGCACUACUUCAAAAGUCUCGUUUGUAGCUGCUGAUGUUGAUGGCAAUGUUCCUUUCUUCUGGGGAAUUGAUUCUGAAGGCAAUCUUGUUAUUGCUGAUGAUGCAGAAGUUGUGAAGGACCGUGGGAAGUUGUUUGCACCAUUUCCUCAAGGGAGCUUAUCAACAGAACGGAAACUUAGAGAGAGAGUGGUGGCUGAAGGAAAGAUAUCAUCAACAAACCGAAGUACAAAAGUUCAUUGUGUGCCUCUUGGACGAGUGUUGGAAGGUUUGGGUUGAUGUGGCACUUGAUGAGUAUCAAACUCUGGAAGUGUAUAGAGCAACUAUGGAUGCCAAACAACUUGGCGAAGCUGGAGGAAGCACUCUUGCAUGGCCCAAAAGCUCCAUUAAAUUGCUUCCUUAUUAGUUAAAAUAGCAGGUACAUUUUGUUGAUCUAGCCUUGCUUCUUUUGCUUUACUAUAAAACUGGAAGUAUGUACCAGAACUGGAAGUAUGUAUAAAUGAGCCCUCGGAUCUUUAUUUGUCCAAGAAUUAUGUAUCAGAACUUCAAUGAAGUGUAUAUUUUUCUUUUACAUGGUUA